rnacentral:misc_RNA from 1 species
UACAGAGGGUGCGAGCGUUAAUCGGAAUUACUGGGCGUAAAGCGCGCGUAGGCGGUUUAUUAAGUCAGCUGUGAAAGCCCUGGGCUUAACCUGGGAAUUGCAGUUGAUACUGGUAAGCUAGAGUGUGGUAGAGGGUGGCGGAAUUCCAGGUGUAGCGGUGAAAUGCGUAGAUAUCUGGAGGAACAUCAGUGGCGAAGGCGGCCACCUGGACCAACACUGACGCUGAGGUGCGAAAGCGUGGGGAGCAAACAGG